AGCGAACGCUGGCGGCAGGCCUAACACAUGCAAGUCGAGCGCUCGUAGCAAUACGAGAGCGGCAGACGGGAGAGUAACACGUGGGAACGUACCCUUUGGUUCGGAACAACACAGGGAAACUUGUGCUAAUACCGGAUAAGCCCUUACGGGGAAAGAUUUAUCGCCGAAAGAUUGGCCCGCGUCUGAUUAGCUAGUUGGUGAGGUAACGGCUCACCAAGGCGACGAUCAGUAGCNGGUCUGAGAGGAUGAUCAGCCACAUUGGGACUGAGACACGGCCCAAACUCCUACGGGAGGCAGCAGGUGGGGAAUAUUGGACAAGUGGGCGCAAGCCUGAUCCAGCCAUGCCGCGUGAGUGAUGAAGGCCCUAGGGUUGUAAAG
rnacentral:rRNA from 1 species